GGUGGCCUGCCCGAGCGGACGAAGGGGCACGCCUGGAGAGCGUGUAGGCGGGCAACCGCCUCGCGGGUUCGAAUCCCGCGGCCACCGCCG
rnacentral:tRNA from 1 species